rnacentral:lncRNA from 1 species
GAUGUAUUUUUUUUUUCACUUGGAGAUUCAUAUUCUAAGUGUUAGCAUUUGCUAGACUCUGUCCCACAGUUACCUAGCAACAGCCAGGUGUGCCUGACUCACUAUAAAAGGGGCUGCUUGCCCCCUCCUUGCUCUCUUGCUCCUCUCUUGUUCUUUCUCUACUUCCCUUCCUCUCUCUUUCCCCAUUCCCUUCCCCCAUCUCUCUCCACAUGCUCAUGGCUGGUCUCUACCAUUCUACUCUCUUUCUCUCUCUCUCUCUCUCUCUCUCUCUGCCUUUCCCUGCCUCUUCUACCCCCUUAACUCCCCUCCCCGUGCCCUGAACAAACUCUAUUCAAUACUAUACAGCUGGUCCCUCAGGAGGAAGGGAUGCCGUGACAUGGGCCUGCUGAGGCACCCCUUCCCCCAUGCCUCAUCACACCCCCAUAGAACAUAUGCCUUCCUCUAUGUUUUUAUAAACACAACACUAAGCACUAUCUUUAUUUAAUUGUCUGUGUGGCUUAUAGAGGAUAAUGUAAAUUAUUUUAGAGUGUUUCUUUUAUGUACUUAAAAAAAAAACUGGUACCAUUGCUUGGUAUAUUUGUGGACAGUGCUCACGGAAUCUGCCUAACACAAAUGCUAGUUCUCAGAAGUAAGCACAAAUGUAUCUACAAACGGUCUGUGGUCAGAAGAGUAUUUUGAUGCUGGUGGGAAUGUGCAGCCAAGUUUGUUUUAGAGAGUUGUUCCUUUCUAUUUGUCUCACAGUUGUGAUGUCUGAGGUGUUAUCCUCUCUGCCAUCUUGUCUGUUCCUCUCUCUCACCAUCUGAUGGACCGACUUUUCAGAGACAACCCUUUUCUCUUCUAUCUUAUGCAGGGACCACGGUGUGUGGCUGAUCUUUGUCUAAGUCCUUGUCUUCUGCGUAUCCUUGUGGGGAACAGAAACAUUAGCCUGUAUUGAUUAGAGGGUGAAGCUGAAAGGCCAGUCCCCAAAGGCUUUGCAUUGCAGUGGGCUGGAGAGAAAGGAAGGCUGGAGACCAUUAUUCACUAGUACCCUUUGCUCCAGCACACAAUCCGAGACGAUCACGGACAGUGUCUACAGCUAACCGUGGUACAGCCUCUGUGCUAAUGUCCCAAAGAUUUUAUGUAACUGCGUCUUCCCGUACCUUUCUUGCUUUUCAGCUGCUUAUAUUUAUAUCAUUUGCCUCUCCCCAUGGAUGCCUGACUCAGUCUUCCUUGUUACAAACUCAAAAUAACAACCAAACCGAACCAAAACAAAAACAAAACCCUUUCGAUGUUCCACCCAUUCCAUUCUGGCUUCCAGGAGGGUCAUGCGUGGUUGACAAAUGAGUCACGGAGCAUGAGAGCUGACUCCUGUGGAGAGUGAACAAGGCUGUGUGGUAGCACAGUUCACUGUUGCUGCAGAUCCAGUGAGUUGCUCACUCAGCAUGAGAUUCCUCAGUGCCGAUGGGGAGAUCGGUAGAGCAGUAGCUUAGACAAACAAGCUGACCACAGGUCAAGACAGACAGGUAGUGACUUCAGCUUGAAUCCAGUAGGAAUAGAGGCAAAAAACGUGAGAUUGGAAUCAAGUAGCUCACGAGCCCCCCCCCCCUUUUUCUGAUGACUGAUGUGCCCUGCAGAAGGGCUCUGACAUUCCUCUGUCCUUCAGAGAGAAAAGAGGAAAGCAAGGGGUAUCCAAAAAAGGGCCCAGUGUUACAUCCAUCCUUUACUGGGCUAGUCUAAAAUCACUUGCCAGUAUGAUUCCUUCUGUUUUUUUUUUUUUUUUUUUAAUCUUAAAAGUAUCAGUAGGAGAGGAUGCCUGUAAACAUUUCAAUAUAAUUGUGGAUUUCUGGGUAAGUACAAUUUAAUAGUAAUUUCCUUUCCAGAAACUCUAGAUAAUCCUGUGCCUCUGGCUGAGGCACUUGUUCUCCGUGUGAUGCCUCACGCCUCACAGGGAAGGCACUGCUGCCAAAUUCCUUUACACAAAUCCCCAAAGAAUGCGUUUGCCUUUGAGAGUGUGCUUGCUAGGCCCUGUCCUGUUUGGCUGUGGAGGGCGGGGUCUGCAUACAGGGCAAGCAGCAUACCUUUCUGGGGGGACCCAGGAAACUGUUCUGCCAAGCAAAGGGCAGAACUUGGGGACUCAGGUGGAACAUGAGAAAUUGUUUACUGGGGUUAGGAAUUUGCCUGGAGGUAUCCAGAACACUUUUCCCUCCAUCCCUCCCUCCCUCAUUCUCCCCCUCUCCCCUGCCCCCCCCCUCUGUAUGUAAAUAGUAGUUUGCUAUUAUUUUAAAAUAAGUUCGUUUCCUAUUAGAAAAUGACUCCUUUGCGGUCACACGUCUUUACUGAUUGUUCUAUUACUGUGACACCUUUAAGUUCUCACAUAAUUGUGCACAUUUACAGGUGUGCAGAGUGACAUUUCCUGGUAUAGUUUGUAACCUCAAAUACUUAUAGUUUCUUUUGUGUGGGGAGCAUUCAAAAAUAUUUUGAAAUAUUGGUAUUGAAAUGUUGUUAAUUAAUUGUUGCCGGCCACAGUUCUGUGAAGUGCAGUGUUUCCCUCUCUUCUCGCUGGGACUCUAGAAGAAUACCUGUAAAAGCUCACAGUUUUCCCAGGGCUCUGCUGAGAGGACAAAGAAAAAGGCAUGUGCCAAGCUUCUCUUUGAACUCCAUGGUCUUAUUUCAUCACCAUCAAAUACUGUCAUAUUUCCUAUGUGCUACCUCACCCAGCGGACUACUAUAGCAGGACAGUGGCUUUUUUUUUUUUUUGGAACUUAAUGGGAAUUAUUUUUACUGUAAGACAGAUGUUUUCUCUAUAAUCUUUAACAGUCACAGAAUUCACUUUAACAGAUACAAAAUGGCCGUCAUUUGGGAAAGG